rnacentral:rRNA from 1 species
CUUGGUCAUUUAGAGGAAGUAAAAGUCGUAACAAGGUUUCUGUUAGGUGAACCUGCAGAAGGAUCAUU